UGGGAAUCUACCUAGUUCUACGGAACAACAGUUGGAAACGACUGCUAAUACCGUAUACGCACUACGGGGGAAAGAUUUAUCGGAAUUAGAUGAGCCCGCGUAAGAUUAGCUAGUUGGUGGGGUAAUGGCCUACCAAGGCGACGAUCUUUAGCUGGUCUGAGAGGAUGAUCAGCCACACUGGGACUGAGACACGGCCCAGACUCCUACGGGAGCAG
rnacentral:rRNA from 1 species